AUUUGAAUAAUUUAAUAUUUUAAAAUAUCUUAAUUAUAAAAAAUAUUAAUACAUUUUUUAACAAUAUUAAUUUACGAAAAUUACGAAAAUUAUGAUAUAUUUUAUUAUAUUUUGUCAAAUUUUAUAUGGAGUUAUUUUGAAAUAUAAAUAUGUUAAUAAUUUUUUAAUAAUAUAGUUGUUAUUCAUUUAUAAUGUAUUUUAAAUU
rnacentral:tRNA from 1 species